rnacentral:rRNA from 1 species
CCUACGGGAGGCAGCAGUGGGGAAUUUUGCGCAAUGCUCGUAAGAGUGACGCAGCGACGCCGCGUGAAUGACGAAGGCCUUCGGGUCGUAAAGUUCUUUCGACAGGGAAGAAAAUGCCUAGAAGUAACUGUGUAUGUAUUGACGGUACCUGUAUAAACAGCCUCGGCUAACUCCAUGCCAGCAGCCGCGGUAAUACGGAGGGGGCGAGCGUUUUUCGGAUGGACUGGGCGUAAAGAGCACGUAGGCGGUGUUGUAAGUCAUUAGUCAAAGGCUAGAGCUCAACUUUAGUAAGGCUAGUGAUACUAUAAUACUAGAGUAGCAGAGAGGAUUGCAGAAUGCCUGGUGUAGCGGUGAAAUGCGUAGAUAUCAGGAGGAAUACCGUUAGCGAAGGCAGCAAUCUGGCUGGAAACUGACGCUGAGGUGCGAAAGCGUGGGUAGCAAACAGGAUUAGAUACCCUGGUAGUC